rnacentral:misc_RNA from 1 species
GACGGAAGGAAGACACGUUUUCAACGGAAUAAUCGUACGCUUUGAGCUAACUGCUUUACUUUUACUGGAAAGGAAGACAGUUUUGCUUUAUCAAGAACGUGAGGUUCAGUGCCUUCACUUCAGUUUUAUAAGCAAAACGUCAAGUUUACGUCACGUUACGAAAGCAAAACAAGGACAUCAGCGCCAUUUUGUAAGCGUCGCGUCUACGUCACGCUUCGAAGAAAAUGGCGGAAUUUCCAGAAUAAACUGUAGUGCCUGUGGGUCACUCUAGCUGUGGUAAACGACAUCACCGCCAGCACGACCGCCAGCGCUUGUGUGAACAUUGUGCUAAGGAACGGAAGAAGGUGUACCGGUGCGUGUCUGCACGAUGGCUUAAUGUGUGGUUUGGUGCCGGUGUGCGUUGUGCGACCUUCGUUCAACGAUCGAUGCCGUGCCGUCGUGCGCGAGUUCUUUCAAACAGGGUCUAGCCACUGGUCUAGUCUUUCACGACUCGAGUGGCGUACAACGACAGCUGCAUCAUGCCAAAGGAAGACGCCGAACCACCGCGCUGCGCCGUGUGCGGCCUGCAGCGCGCCCCGAACGCCGUGCUGCUCCCUUUCCCCGACCGGCGCCAGUCGAAGCUCUACGGCGCCUGGCUCGACUUCGUGCGCGGCUGCCCCGGCAAAAGCAACUGGCUGCCCGACAGUCGCACCGGCUUCGUCUGUACUCUGCACUUCACCUCCAAAUGGCUUAGGCGCACCACGGGCUCUGCCUACCACAACAAUUCACUGUUACUUAGAACCGCCACGGUGCCCACGCUCUACACGAGCCCGGAGAAACGCCGCCGCAUCGCCGAGGGCAGUAGCAGCGCUGCGCCCAUCCAGGCGGUUGGGGGGUCGGAGUUACAAAGUACCUCGCUCGCUUCUACGAAUGCCAGCCACCGCCAGCUGAUAGAUAUGCACGACGCAAACCAGCUCUCAGUCAACAGUGGCCAAGGCUGCUCUCGCACCUGGGACAGGAAGCCAGACAGCUGCCUGACAGUGGGCGGCCACUUUGCCAACUCUGUGGACCUCCCCAUGCUGCACGUGCAGCAGGAACAAAGCAGUUGUAUUUCCAUAGCUAGUGCCAGUAGCAGCACCAGCACCACUGUGGUUGCCAAGACAUGCUCUGACCCUAAGAAAACUGUGAGCAGCACAAAAAGCCUCAGCACACACAGUCUUCCAGAUACAGGUCGUGUUCCCAUCUAUGCCAGUGUACGACGCACAGUUGGGGCUCGUCGUACUCUGUCUGAGGACACAGACGCAAUGGCGGGAGCAGCACAGGGCAUGGGUGCCACGGAAUUGGAGAGACCACGAUUAGGCAUCCUCACCAGGUUUGCACAGAACCUCGUGAAGAAUGUGAAGAACUCUGAGCAACAGGAAUCAAGCACAGGCCUCGCUGCAAGCAGAGACAACAACAUUCGUGAAUUGGAUGCUGGAGGAGAAGACUUCACUGCUGCAUCUAAUGAGCCCUGGAGCGAGGAGGAGACCAAGCUGCUUCUAGAUUACUACACGACGUACAUACCCCAGAUUGGGCCCCACGACCGUUUCAAGACAAAAAAGCUCAUGUACGAGGAAAUUGCUCGAGAAAUGUCUCGCGUGUUAAAUGUUCAGCGGACCGGAGCGCAGUGUAAGUCUAGACUGUCCACUUUGCGAAAACAAAGGAGGAAGGCCGACAAAAAUUACGAAACAUCCGGCGAUGCCAGAUGUUCUGCUCCCUGUGGAGCGAAGUUUACCAUCGAUGACGUCCUUGUGCCAGAGGUGCUCCUGGAGUGUGAAAAGUGACCUAAACCACUGGGACAGAAAACACCUGCCUCUGUGACUGCAUCCACAAAAAGCCUCCGGGUGCAAGACGAGCACGCUUCCUCGAUGCCACGGCGGAUCCAUGGUUCUGGCUGACUAAAGGAGUGCCUAGCGUGUGCGUUCAUGAUGCUCCAAGAACUACAAAGAGUGUAAUACUUAAGCAGUCUUAAGUGUAUUUACCGUGUUUCUUUUUUAAUAUGACAAUUUUAAUUACUGUAUAUCACUAUGAAUUAAAUUUUUCAAAUGUAGUGAGACAGGUGGAGUAUUGUCACAGCAUAUAGAAACAUCUUGUGCAUUUUGUAGGGGCAGAACAGAAAGGUCUCUGUGGGAAAAUAAUAACAUAUAAAGAAAUAGACUGACGCAACAUUAUCCUUGUAUUUGAAAAAAAACCAUGUGCGCUACAAUACAAACACUGUUUUGGGAUCUUUGCAAUAAACAAAAGAUUUCGGGAAAAAGGUCCCCUUUCGUCGUGGCAGAAUUGAAGUGCAAAGCACCGAAUUGUCAAAAUACGAACAUGAGGUUAGUGGAAAGAAGGACAAGCACAGGCACUUUGUGUCAGAAGGUCGUACCGGAUGUUCUCGCUCCAUUCUCACCCCAUUCUCUUUUUCAGUGCCCAGAGAACGACUCUGGAUUUUGGCACGUCUCUUGAAGGUUGCCGACAAUGGAGGCUAAAAGGUUUUCAUGCUUAAAAAUCUUUCACAUUUACUACCAAACACCCCACUUAAAAAUGCACCGCCAAACAUGGUACUGCCUUUGCUAAAGCGGUCGUCUGAAGCAGUACAUUUCACUCAGAAGUGAAAUGGGUUUACUUUAGGAAAGCAGAAUGUUCAAUUUACUAAAAGCCUACUGUUCGUUGUCAAUUUUUUGCAGCCAGUGUAAAGAUUAGACGAAUCCACAAACGUGUACGCCGUGACUGAAGGAGAUAAGGCGGCUCGACCACCGUUUUCAUUUAUUUGUUGUAUCUUUCGUGAGGGAGGAGGCUCCGGACAUGGAGAGAAACUGCAAUUCACAUUUAUUAUUUGCUAUAGGUAGUUCUAAAAAGGGCCUCACACCAUUGGAUAUCUUAUUUGAUUUGCAAUACUCUAUUGGAGCAGCUCUUUAAUUUUUGUAAAAGAACUGCCAAGCUCGACACUCAUGCUUCCCCUGAUGCUGUUUUCCCCGCAUGGCUCUCGCGUCCCCCGUGAUCCAACUUCUCUGCCUAGCUAAGCCCCGGCUGCGGUCGGUGUCGUUGCAGCAUGUUACGAGAUGGGGCGAGUGCUGUGCUGCUAACGCCACCUAGUGGCGGGGUUGCUCGGGAGCAACAGAGAGUUGGCUCUUCCUCUCGGGGGUCGGCGAGCCGCGCGCCCCUUCUGCGCAAGAGGCUUAGCAGCACAACACUGCAAUGGACGAACGUGAUGAUUCAAACGUGCCUAGUGUUCGCGUGACCAUACACACGAACGAAAAGGUGUUGGUGUCUAGCAUGCGGGCAAACAUUCACUCGCUGUCCGGUCGCGGUGAGUCGGACUUGCUCGAUUUGUCCCGCACUCAUCAGCAUUUUCUCUCAGUAAUAAUUCGACUGGCUAUAGAUUGGUGUAUCAAGGCGCAAUAAAUAUGCUUGUGAUUGUCUGCA